rnacentral:rRNA from 1 species
AGCGGGGGAUAACAUUUGGAAACAGAUGCUAAUACCGCAUAACAACAAAAGCCACAUGGCUUUUGUUUGAAAGAUGGCUUUGGCUAUCACUCUGGGAUGGACCUGCGGUGCAUUAGCUAGUUGGUAAGGUAACGGCUUACCAAGGCGAUGAUGCAUAGCCGAGUUGAGAGACUGAUCGGCCACAAUGGAACUGAGACACGGUCCAUACUCCUACGGGAGGCAGCAGUAGGGAAUCUUCCACAAUGGGCGCAAGCCUGAUGGAGCAACACCGCGUGAGUGAAGAAGGGUUUCGGCUCGUAAAGCUCUGUUGUUGGAGAAGAACGUGCGUGAGAGUAACUGUUCACGCAGUGACGGUAUCCAACCAGAAAGUCACGGCUAACUACGUGCCAGCAGCCGCGGUAAUACGUAGGUGGCAAGCGUUAUCCGGAUUUAUUGGGCGUAAAGCGAGCGCAGGCGGUUGCUUAGGUCUGAUGUGAAAGCCUUCGGCUUAACCGAAGAAGUGCAUCGGAAACCGGGCGACUUGAGUGCAGAAGAGGACAGUGGAACUCCAUGUGUAGCGGUGGAAUGCGUAGAUAUAUGGAAGAACACCAGUGGCGAAGGCGGCUGUCUGGUCUGCAACUGACGCUGAGGCUCGAAAGCAUGGGUAGCGAACAGGAUUAGAUACCCUGGUAGUCCAUGCCGUAAACGAUGAGUGCUAGGUGUUGGAGGGUUUCCGCCCUUCAGUGCCGGAGCUAACGCAUUAAGCACUCCGCCUGGGGAGUACGACCGCAAGGUUGAAACUCAAAGGAAUUGACGGGGGCCCGCACAAGCGGUGGAGCAUGUGGUUUAAUUCGAAGCUACGCGAAGAACCUUACCAGGUCUUGACAUCUUGCGCUAACCUUAGAGAUAAGGCGUUCCCUUCGGGGACGCAAUGACAGGUGGUGCAUGGUCGUCGUCAGCUCGUGUCGUGAGAUGUUGGGUUAAGUCCCGCAACGAGCGCAACCCUUGUUACUAGUUGCCAGCAUUAAGUUGGGCACUCUAGUGAGACUGCCGGUGACAAACCGGAGGAAGGUGGGGACGACGUCAGAUCAUCAUGCCCCUUAUGACCUGGGCUACACACGUGCUACAAUGGACGGUACAACGAGUCGCAAGCUCGCGAGAGUAAGCUAAUCUCUUAAAGCCGUUCUCAGUUCGGACUGUAGGCUGCAACUCGCCUACACGAAGUCGGAAUCGCUAGUAAUCGCGGAUCAGCAUGCCGCGGUGAAUACGUUCCCGGGCCUUGCACACACCGCCCGUCA